rnacentral:rRNA from 1 species
GAAGGUGGCCUGUGAGGGUUGCUGGAGGUAUCAGAAGUGCGAAUGCUGACAUAAGUAACGAUAAAGCGGGUGAAAAGCCCGCUCGCCGGAAGACCAAGGGUUCCUGUCCAACGUUAAUCGGGGCAGGGUGAGUCGACCCCUAAGGCGAGGCCGAAAGGCGUAGUCGAUGGGAAACGGGUUAAUAUUCCCGUACUUGGUGUUACUGCGAAGGGGGGACGGAGAAGGCUAUGUUGGCCGGGCGACGGUUGUCCCGGUUUAAGCGUGUAGGUGUGUGUUCCAGGUAAAUCCGGUUCACUUUAACACUGAGGCGUGACGACGAGGCACUACGGUGCUGAAGCAACAAAUGCCCUGCUUCCAGGAAAAGCCUCUAAGCAUCAGGUAACACGAAAUCGUACCCCAAACCGACACAGGUGGUCAGGUAGAGAAUAC